CAUCUGUCUGAGCAGGAAGUCCAGGGAAGGGGACCCAGGAAGUGACAUCACCUCCACGAGAUGACAGGGCACACAUGACCUCGGAACCCUGGUCCCCAGGCAGUUGGUUCUGAACCAAACCUGACCCAGCUCACUUGCCUGGUGGGCCUGGACCCGGCCCCACGUUUUCUUGCUGUUUGCCCAGGUCUCCCCGCAGUGGACCCAAAAAAGGUCCACGAAACUCGUGUCACACUCUGCCGAAAGGCAUGAGGAGCCUGUGCGUACGCCUCGGGCCAGCACCAGCACUGCCCCUGAGGUAACUAGGGGGGCCCUGGGGACAGGUCAGACCACGCCAGGGCUCUGAUGCCCCCACCCCUCCCUUCCCCCUGUGAGUGCGGGUGUGCGUGCGGUGAGAGUGAGUGUGUGCGUGCUCCAGGAAGGAGGGUCUGGCCCACCCAGGAGUCUGCUCAUGUCUACACCAGAACCAGCCUGGCUGGUGGUGGGACCCAAACCGUCAUGGCUGCUCCCUCUUGCCCCAGCUGGUUGCUACCCAGCAGGUGCGUCUGUUUACUCCCAGGAGGUCUUUUGUGUCCAGGAAGGUGAAGAGAUCCAGAGAGUGCAAUUCCCCGACUGUCCUCCCACAGCCCAGUGUGGGAUCUGUCCCAGCACAGAGCCCAGGUUGAAGUGCACCUGCAACUUUGAGAUUGGGGCACAUGUCCAAAGGAACUGGCUGCAGUACCCGAAAUCCCUGGAGGAGCCGUCCGAGGGACGUGACUUCCAUGACCGUCCUUGGACAACCUGCUGACCAUGCUGCAGGCCACUCUUGGCUGGAGCCUGCAGCCUGCAUGGGGCAGUCCCGAUGCCAGUGCACAUGGCGGGGAGCCUAGCGGCAGCUGGCUUUUGCUCUCCUCCCCACCCAUGCACCCUGGGCUCUUGAAACAGAAGAGGGUGCUCUCCAGACCACGGACCAGCCAUCAGUCUUGGAUUCUGAAAAAAUCCUACUCUCAAAUGGCAGCAUAUUUGCAGCACAAGAAUGAGAAUCUGAGAAUAAGAAGCCUUUCCUGGUUCCUGAGCCACAGCUUAUUGUCUUUAUGUGAUAUGGCUUCUCAAGGACAUAAAAAAAUUCCCUCAAACAAAAGCCAAUGGUUUAUUUAUAUAAAGUAGAGGCAAUGAGCUCAUGAAUGCAUGCAUUUGCUUAUUAUUCUUCCUCGCAGAGGAGAUGGAUGGAUGACUCUAUUUAUCUCUCUGUCUACACAUCUCUCUCUCUCCAUAUGCAAAGAAAAGUGGUUUAAGUUGAGGAAAUCAGUGAGUAAUGAUAGGAGGACUUGGUUGAGAUGUGGGAAACUGAAGACUUAG